rnacentral:rRNA from 1 species
AUGCUUUAUACAUGCAAGUCGAACGAAGGCCCUAGCUUGCUAGGUGUCCUUAGUGGCGCACGGGUGAGUAACACGUGGGAACAUACCUCAUAGUACGGAAUAACUGCGGGAAACUGUAGCUAAUACCGUAUAUUCCAGUAAUGGGAAAGAUUUAUCGCUAUGAGAUUGGCCCGCGCAAGAUUAGUUUGUUGGUAAGGUAAUGGCUUACCAAGGCUACGAUCUUUAGCUGGUUUGAGAGGAUGAUCAGCCACACUGGGACUGAGACACGGCCCAGACUCCUACGGGAGGCAGCAGUAGGGAAUAUUGGACAAUGGGGGCAACCCUGAUCCAGCAAUGCAGCGUGAGUGACGAAGGCCUUAGGGUUGUAAAACUCUUUCAUCGGUGAGGAUAAUGACAGUAACCGAAGAAGAAGGACCGGCUAAUUCCGUGCCAGCAGCCGCGGUAAUACGGAAGGUCCUAGCGUUGUUCGGAAUUACUGGGCGUAAAGCGCAUGUAGGCGGAACAGAAAGUUAGAAGUGAAAUCCCUGGGCUCAACCUAGGAAUUGCUUUUAAAACUUCUGUUCUGGAAUUAAGGAGAGGAAAAUGGAAUAUCCAGUGUAGAGGUGAAAUUCGUAGAUAUUGGAUGGAACACCAGUGGCGAAGGCGAUUUUCUGGACUUAUAUUGACGCUGAGAUGCGAAGGCAUGGGUAGCAAACGGGAUUAGAUACCCCGGUAGUCCAUGCAGUAAACGAUGGGUGCUAGUCGUCGGACUUAUGUUCGGUGUCGUAGCUAACGCGUUAAGCACCCCGCCUGGG